CGUAUUUGCGGAGCCCUAUCAAAUACCAGGCUGUGUGCAUAUAUCUCCCCUAUUCUAGAAAGGCUCAUGAAGUGAAGGCCCAGCUCUGUUCCAUCCUGCAGACCUUCCUCAGGAUGGCGGGAGGCUGUGAAGAACUCACAUGCUGCGUGUCGGACUGAGCUAUCCCUAUUUCAUACUAUAAGCCAAGACUCGCUACACCGUCCUGCUGAUAUUCACAGUCGUGCCUGGGAAGGAGGCAGCCCCAUUUCCAGCACAUUUCAGUGGGAGACCUACACAUGUGCCCCCUGGAGACUUGGUGGGGCAGGGGAAGAAACUGUAGGAGUGCACGUCCCCAAAGCCGCGUCUCCACGUGUGAAUCAGUGUCACCUCGCUUUCCCCUCAGAGACCUCACUGUCCCACAGCGGGACCUGCCUGAAAAUUGAGGGGACAAGGGAGCCCCUCAGCCUCUUCCUUCUUCAGCACUCCACUCCCAGGCACCGCGGCUCCUCAGGCAGCGGAGCUGCUGAGAGCUCAGAGCUGCUGCUGCCCUGCAUGCGUCAGCUCAGCCCUGUUGUCGGCGCCAUGAUGGUCUACAGGAGGGACAUGGCAGCUUUCUGAAUGGAUUUUUCUUAAGAAAAGUGCCAGUGUUUAUGCAGUUCAUGAUAUUGCCCCAUCCCUGCCGUUAUUGUCACUUGGCUUUUUCUCACUAGGCUUCAUCUUUAUUUUUUUUUAAUGGGGAAGUUUUUCUCUCACCCCAGCAUCCUAUAUUUGGCUCCCCCUUCUCUACCCCUCCUAGAUAUAGAAUUAUGAGAUUCUGACAAAAAAAUAAGAAAAUCUUCUUCGGUAAGUCUGUGAAUUCUUCAUAUCAUCUGUAUUUUAUUGUUGGAGAGAGGCUGGUGUUCUACUUGGUUCUGCCUGGUCCCAGACAGCUCCAGCAAAAGCAGGUGUUGAAACCGAGCUGAGCGUGUGUAUCACUGUGACAAGCCAUUCGCGUCCUGCCGUAUUCCCUGACAGCCAAACCAGCCGCCGAGCAACUGUAGCCAGGUUGGUCCUUCAGCGAGUCACAAAUCACCCAGGUUUAUUUUAAACAGAC
rnacentral:lncRNA from 1 species